UACAUAGGGUGCAAGCGUUGUCCGGAAUUAUUGGGCGUAAAGAGCUCGUAGGUCGUUUGUUACGUCGGAUGUGAAAACCUGAGGCUCAACCUCAGGCCUGCAUUCGAUACGGGCAAACUAGAGUUUGGUAGGGGAGACUGGAAUUCCUGGUGUAGCGGUGGAAUGCGCAGGUAUCAGGAGGAACACCAAUGGCGAAGGCAGGUCUCUGGGCCAAUACUGACACUGAGGAGCGAAAGUCUGGGGAGCGAACAGG
rnacentral:rRNA from 1 species